CAGACUCCGUACGGGAGGCAGCAGUGGGGAAUAUUGCACAAUGGAGGAAACUCUGAUGCAGCGACGCCGCGUGAGUGAAGAAGUAAUUCGUUAUGUAAAGCUCUAUCAGCAGGGAAGAUAGUGACGGUACCUGACUAAGAAGCUCCGGCUAAAUACGUGC
rnacentral:rRNA from 1 species